rnacentral:rRNA from 1 species
UCGACCGCGACCCCAGGUCAGACGGGACUACCCGCUGAGUUUAAGCAUAUCAAUAAGCGGUGAGAAGAAACUUACAAG